UGAAGCAACAGUCACCCGCAAGGAGGAAUGUAAGAGAAAACAGCCCCGUUGGCAAACAGCAGCACAAUAAUAAUAAGACAACUAUGCAAACAACAGCGGGGGUCAUUUCCGAGCAGAGGGCAACAACCUGACAGCCGCACUGGAGAGAGAAAACAGAACGGCGAGAGAGACGCCGAGGAAAGAGAGAGAUUGUGCGGGGACGUAAAGAGCAACAUCUGGAAAGGUUCGCUCCAUGACUGCCUUGUAACUUGGCGCACAAAAAAUUUUUAAAAAAACAAGUACAAGGGGGAGUCGAGGCUGUGGAAAGAAGACAGAAGUGUGGUGCUCUCUCUCUCUUUCUCUCUCUCUCUCUCUCUCUCUCAGUACCUUAGUACCACCGCCACCUGAGAAAUAAUCCUUUCUAACCCUAAUCUCGACCUAGCUCCCAGGCUCGGGGAGGGCGAGGGAGCACCGCCUCUGUCUGGAGCGGGGCAGGCUAAAGACAACAGAUGCACAGUCGCACACGCUCUCGCAGAAGGGAACUCUCGGGCUCGCACACCCCAGAGCUGUUGCUCCUGCCUCCCCAGGAUGGACGCCAGAGAGGAGACGCUGGGACUUCUGAACAAGAUCUGGACCAAGCUGCAGGCCCUGCCUAACGCUAGCCCUCUGGAGCUGGGGGCAUUCUUCAUUCUUUUGACCUUCAUCUUGGUUGUUGUGCUCAUGAUGGUGCUGACUUGUGUGACCUGUUGCUGCCGGAGCACAGGAACCAAAGGGCCCCAGAUCUGAGCAGGUGUGCCCUUUCACACAAGGGGAAGAAAUGUUUUGAAAGGCGAUCUCUGGAACGCUUAACCCUCAAACAAACAAAAAACCGGGUCUGUGCAGAAUCCAGACAGGCUAAAAUAUGAGACAACUCUUUAUACACAACAGCAGCCAUUCUCUCCAACUCUGACUCUGAAUUCACUGAGCAACGAGGGCUCAUAUAGAGAAUGUGAAGUGGUCAUAGCAGAGGCCAGCUUUUAAACACCACAGUUCCUGACCAACAUGACGGAGGAUGCCCCGAAAGGCUGCCGAACACUCCCGCCAAGGCGUCCAGGUUUUCAGGAGUAUCGACAUUCCACGGAGCAUCCCUGGGCUCUUCAGGUCGACAAUGCUGCCUUUGACCUGAGAAAAGGGGAGGGCCCCGACACGGCAUCCCUAGACUGUCUCGAGAAGGGCAGUCAGAUGCAUGGAAUAUCAACAAUAAGACGAGCGCGGCAUUUCUAAGCCAACGUGUAGGAAGACGCCAGCCGGUACGUACGCAGGGAAACGUAAGAGUCGAGACGGUUGUUUUUUCCAACUUUGCUUGUCUAAACCGCGGCUCUCGCUACAUUCUUAAGAGAUGACUACUCAAGUCAGACUGCGUGCAAAUUCCCAACGGAGCAUUGCUUGCCACUGCCAAACCUUAAUAUGUUCCCUGAAAAUCAACACAACAAAUAAAGAGGAAGGGAUCGAGUCUGCCCUCUGCUGUCAAACACAAGAAUUACAACCUGAUAAUCUGAUAAAACAUGGUGUAUAUGUUAUAACGAUUUUUAAUAUAAAGAGCUAUAUAUAUUUUCUAUAUACAAGAAAGAGGUAAACAAUGGGUCAUUUUUAUAUAAAUUAUAUUUCCUGAAUGAUAGAAAACGGUGACGUAUGACUAUGUUUUCUGAAUGGAAUUAAUGACUAGCUCCAGCCUAUAGUGUAUGCUACAUGUCUGAGUUGUUAUCGAAUAAAAAGAAAAGUUAGU